AGGUUUGUAUAUGCAUUAAUUUUGGAUGAUUUGAAGUUGGUAUGACUUUGUAAUAGCUUUGCAAAGUCAAGGUUUGUUUCAGAUGACUUGGGUUUUAUGAAAUAAAAUAGGGUUUACGUUUUGGAUGAUUUCAAGAGUUCUGUAAUAGAUCUAUGAGUGAAAUUUUGUGGAUUCAUGGUUAUAGUUGUAUUUAAUAUGUAUUGUGAAUUUGAACU
rnacentral:lncRNA from 1 species